rnacentral:piRNA from 1 species
CGUGCAAUUCUCUGUGCUGCUGCAAAC